GUUUUUUUUUGGGAGACAUCUGAAAAAAUUGAACAAAUACCAGCAAAAUUAGCAUGGUCCCUUCCAAGGAGGACAUGCAUAAAUUGAGAAAUGAUCUAAAUUUUU